GACCCCCCUGUGAUCGUCUUCUUCGAAACCCCAUCAGAUGUGUCUUCUUCAACACAAAAAAUGGAGAGCAAUUAAAAACAACGGAGCCGUUACCUAGGCUUCAUCUUCUUCAUGGAGAACACAAAAAAAGCUUAGGACUUCUACACCCAAACCCGACAGCCACCCCUGAUGCCGGCGACCCCUCACGCCGAACUCCAUCUCCAGCCACCUUCACAGAACCAACCCACCGAAAAACACCAUCGCCGCCCGUCUCCACCAGCUGCUAUAACAGCAGCGACGAACACACUAGACACACGACCACCACACCCAGAACACCCUAAAAGCCCGCUGCUGCUCCAUCCUCAUUCAUGCCAAGAACCCGACGUCCACACUCACUCACACACACAGAAACGAGGAGGAGUGGAAAACGAGAGGAGCAAAAAAUUCGAGGUUCCGGUCGAAAAUUCUGUUCUUAGGCUUUGUUGUUCUUUCUCGUUGGAUUAUAGGAUCAAGGACUGUGUAUUUGUGAUUUCUUUCCACUGUUACAUUGAAGAACUCUUUUAACGGAGCUUGUGCUUUCCAAGUUUUUGGUUCGAAUUAUCGCUGUCUACCAAGUGCCUUGAAGUUCAGAUUUCCGUCGUUUGUUUUGUCACUGAAUUUCGUGGCUUGCUUUUCGUGCUUCAGUAGUUGUGUUUCAUUUUUCUUUCGCACAUCAAUUGAUUCAAAUUUCAUCUUCAGAUUUGGUUAUUUAUGUCUCAGCUUGAGUUUUUACAAAUUAAAGUUGCUGGUUCGAGCUAUGCCGUUAAGUUUGUGUUGGAAUUCUGAAUCGGAGUGUGCUUGGGUUCGUCGGUUCAUGGUAGUUCUACUUCGGGUUCAAGCAUUACUUUUAGCUCAUAUCUAAUCAACGUCGAAAAGGUCCUCGUUCUCGUUGAGGUUCAACUCUUCAAUCCUCUACUUAUUUCAUUGUAGCUGAAUGUUAAUCGCUUGUUUGGUGAUUUGGUUCGGUGAUUUGUUUGGUUAUUAUUUCCGGUUUUGAGUUUGUUCAUGUAGUUAUCUAAUCGCAUGCUAUUCGAAUUGGUUAUAGCUGAACAUAAUUUUGUCACAAUAUAGAAAUUGGGUUGCUAUUCUUCAACUGAACUACGUCAAAUUAGAUUAAAGGGGCUCUGGUGAGCAUUUCAUGUGACCCUGCCAUAAUUUUGUAUAAUAAUAAUAAAAAUAAACAUGUGCAUUUCAUGUGACCCUGCCAUAAUUUUGUAUAAUAAUAAUAAAAAUAAACAUGUUAUAAAUCCGGAUGUACAUUUCAUGUGACCCGACUUUAAUUUCCAAUAAUAUUUAAUAAUUAAACAUGUCGUGAACCGUGAGCGCAUUUCAUGUAGCAUGGUUUACGAUGUGUUUUCAAAAAUAAGCAAGUGUAUGACGAUCAUGAAUUUUCCUAAAAACAUUAAAAGAAGAUAAAAAAUUUAAAAAUGCACGUAGGUUUUAAAAUGUGUAAUUAAUCAGAUAAUUAGGCCAAUAAUAAUAGUUGAGCAACCGUGCUAGAACCACGGAACCCGGGAAUGCCUAACACCUUCUCUCGGGUUAACAGAAUUCCUUACCCAGAUUUUUGUGUUCGCAGACCAUAAAUAAGAGUCAACUUCCUCGAUUCGGGAUUUAAACCGGUGACUUGAGACACCAUAAAUCACUACAAGAAAAAGCCUUAUUUAUGACCAACUUUUAGGGACGAGUUAAUAAUCUCGUCAGCAAAAAUAUAUUUAUUGGGACGAGAUAAUAUUGCGGUCCUUAAUACUAUAUUUUAUUACGAAGGUAGUAAAUCCGGUCCCUAAAGAAAGUAGUGACUGGUCCCAAAUUAUAAUUGAGGGACAUUGAGCGUGACACUGUACCGCCAAAUCCAAUACCAAAAUAUUAAAAAAAUAUUAUUUUAUGAAAAAUCAAGCGCCAAAACUAAUAUAUUGAAAUAAAAAAUUUUAAAAAGUCAAGAAACUCUCUGUAUUCUAAAACACAAGUCGCGAACAUAAGCUCUGCCCUAGUUUCUGCGCGCCAAGCUCUGCCCAGUUUCCGCCAAGCUCUGCCUGUCGCCUUUACUGUGUUUUCUCAAAAUACAAGUUGUGAAUCUGGUGGUGUGUGAAUUUGCCCAAGUUUCCAUCUCGCUCGUUGAGAAUCCGUGAAACUCUCUGUAUUCUGAUACACAAGUCGCGCCAUAAGCUCAGCCCUAGUUUCCGCCAAGCUCUGCCCGUCGCUUUUACUGUGUUUUCUCAAAACACAAGUUGUGAAUCUGGUGGUGUGUGAAUUUGCCCAAGUUUCCAUCUUGCUCGUUGAGAAUCCGUGGUAUGCCCCUUCUUUCAAGUUGCUCUUUUCGCUGAUUGCUUCGCUUAUUCGAGUUCUUCGAUCUUCUUUUUCUUCUCCAACAUAAAAAAUUGGGUAAGGUUUCAUAUUUUGGUAUUUUUUUUCUUUUACAAAAUCAGUGAAAAGAUUAUUGGGUUGGGAUUCCUAGUUUGAUAAUUUAAUUUUCUGAAGUUUAUAUAAAAUUGUGAUUCGUUAUCCUCAGCGGCAGAUUUUAAUUGCCUUCUUUUGCUUCGUUGAUGUGUGUUUCUGCCUUCGCCAUGGGUUAACUAAUCCCUGUAACUAGCAGUCUUGUUUGUGUGCUAUAGAAGAGUGCCGAAAGCACCUUCUUGAAUUGCUAAUUGUGUUUUGUGAAAAGCUGGUGCAUAAGUUGAGAUGGAAAGCUCAAACAAGGAACUCUUAUUAAUCGCAAUGAAUGAGAUGAAAGCCUGGUACAUAAGUUGAACAUUAGGCGUUUAGUUAUAUAGGUGGCUUGUAGAAAAAUAUUGUGUAAAACAUCUUUGUUCAUUACUUGGAUUGAGUGGCAAUUUCAAAUUACUGCAAUUUUGGUGUUCUGGACUAGUGGAUUCCAUACGCAUUUGUUGUGAUCAAAUGGCUAUUAGAUAUCCGACUCCUAUGUUUUUUUUUCGAGUUUGGUAUUUUGUUUGCUUGGACAGUUACAAUCCUAGUUGUAUAUCUAAAUGUUUUAUGUUGCACUUUUGUUUGUUUGGAUGUGUUCUAAUUUGCUAUGACAUUGCUGAGUAUAAUGGUUAGGACACUUUAUCCUUAUUGGUCCAAAAUAUCUGAUCUUUUUUCUUAAAUGGCAAAAUUGUUUUUGCUCAGGCAAUAUUGUAUUGUUGUGAUAUCUCAAGUUUGAUUUUACAUGUAUUCGUCUAAUUGUUUCACUUUAGAAUGUUUAAUUGUGUCAUCAAAUGUUUUUAUAUCAAACACUGGAGUACAAAUAAAAUUAGGCCAAGGUAGGCUAAUCUUAAAAAGACGAGAAAGAAUUUAGCUUAAGAGAUGUUGGGUUUCAUGAAUGAGAAUAUAUAAUAGCUUAUAAAUUGACCUACAAUUGAGAAGUAGGUGAUGUUUUAAUGUCAAGAGUGAUUUUCAUGUAUUAUACUAUGUGAUAUUGAAUUGUUGUUUUAGAUUGUCUAUUUGUCUCUGGAGUGAUGUGAAUAACCGUGUAAAGGUAUUCAACAGUUUAGUAUCAAGCCAUGAACAUUCCUUAGCAUGUUGAGUCUAUUGUAAGGAUCUCUACCCUCCCUUAAAUGCAUUCUGAUCAACUAAAUUAGAAAGCGAGGGCUAUCGAUCAGUAGAGUCCAAUUACAUUGACCUUAAUUUUGAUCUGAGCACACUAAUUUGAUGUGGAAUAAAUCAGAUUCAGGUCCUGUAUUUGUACACCACUCAAAUGAAAGAAGAGAGGAUGUACCUUCAUAAAAUCCUGACAUUGGAACACACUUUCCACAAAUAGUUGGAGAGCUCUAAGAACAUUCUUACCUUUAUGGUGAAAAUGGAGUAAUUUGUAGUGACCAUUUAUCUGGCUUCACCACCAUUUGUCUCUGGUGUGUAGUGAAUAAUUGUGUAAAGUUAUUCAAUAGUUUAGUAUCAAGCCAUUAAAAAUAGCUACUCUAGGGACAUUGCUUAGCAUCUUGAGACUAUUCUUUCUCCAUUUCAUACCAAGUCUUGAGAAUCCAGUUGUGUGCAUUUGAUCGGAACAAGUAGUGUGCAUCGUAGUAUUUUUCUUAUCUUUUAUCUUUAUUUAAUUUAACUUUUAUUUACUCUCCAAGGUUAUGGCACCUAGUAAGUAAUGGAUGCAACUUGUUGAUAAUCGGCUCGAUAAAGCCUACUUAAUCGGAGUGCAACAGUUUUUGGAUUAUGCUUUUCAGAAAACAGGAGAAGAAUAUGAGAUACGAUGACCAUGUAUCAAAUGUUGUAAUACAACUUUAGGAACUCGUAAGACAGUUGAGACACAUUUGCAUGUAUACGGAAUAAUUCAAAAUUAUACUUUUUGGUAUCAUCACGGAAAAAAUUUAGAUGAGCCACUGUCACAAUCGGAAGACGAAGAUGGUGAUGAACUAGAAGAAUAUGAAAGUGAAGAUGAAGUACAAGAACUAUUGAGAGAUAUGUAUCCUAAUAUUGAUGGAAGAACCGUGCACACUGAUUGUGAUAAUUUAAUUGAGGAGGAACCAAAUAUUGAAGCAAAAAAUUUUGAAGGAUUUCGAGCAGCCACUGUACCAAAAUUCAAAAGCUUCAAAGCUUACCUUUUUGAUUAAAUUGCUUCACAUCAAAAGCAUGGGUCGUUGGAGUAAUGAGUCAUUUACAAUGUUAUUGAAAAUGUUAAAAGAGGAGUUGUUACCUGAUGGCGCCAAUUUGCCAAAAUCAUAUUAUGAGGCAAAGAAGAUAAUUCAAGACCUUGGCCAUUCCUACAACAAAAUUGAUGCUUGUACUAAUGAUUGCAUGUUAUACUGGAAGGAGGAUAGCUUACUUGAUUCUUGCAAAGUUUGUGGUGCGUCUAGAUGGAAAAUAGAUAGAUAUAGCGGGGAAACAAGGAAUAAAAAAGGUAAGAAGAUAGCAGCAAAGACUUUACGCUAUUUUCCAUUAAAGCCUAGGCUUCAGAGGUUGUUUAUGUCUACAAAGACAUCUAGUUUAAUGACAUGGAAUGCGGAUAAAAGAGUUGAUGAUGGAAUAAUGAGGCACCCAGCUGAUUCAAUGGCGUGGAAGUCGUUUGAUGAACUUCAUCCUUCAUUUGCGGUUGAGCCUCGUAAUGUUCGACUUGGACUUGCUAGUGAUGGAUUUCAGCCAUUUCGGAAUUCAAAAACCUCAUAUAGCAUUUAGCCUGUGGUUCUUAUUCCUUAUAAUUUACCACCUUGGUUGUGUAUGAAACAAGAAAAUUUUAUUUUGUCAAUGCUUAUUCCAGGUCCAUAGUCUAGGCGAUGCUAUUGAUACAUAUCUUCAACCUUUAAUAGAGGAAUUGAAGGAGUUGUGGGAAGUUAGCAUCGUGGAAUGAUAUUAAGGAAGAAAAACUGAAUCAUAUGUGGGCAGCUAUUGAGGUAAGCAAGAUAUUUAUACAGUGAAGAUGCACAUCAUUUAGUUGAAUACAUGUGUUCCUAUUUGUUCCUUUAGUUGAAUAGUUUAAAUCAGCAAUUAAUUUAACUAGACUGCUUGAACGUCAUGCGAUAAUAACUCCUCAUUAGAGAAUUGGAUGCCCAAUUUAUUUAGAAACACAUUGCUUUUUUACCCCUAUUUAGAAACAGAUUCAGUUGCUUGUCUGUUUUUACCCCUAUUUAGAAACACAUUGCUUGUCUGUGUAAGAAGUGCAUACAUAAGGUACAAUCACACGCACAUUAGCCAUGAAAAUUGACCACACUGUCCAGAAGUACAAACUGGGCAGCUUCCCUUGCUUGAUGUCUUUCUAUUUUUGUUCCAGCAUAUCCUCCAGUUUUAUUAUUAAGUAGCUCAAUGUAUCUUGAUCAACCUGCUAUCCAUACUGUAUAUAUGUUUAGUAUACACAUAUGGCAAUAGAUUUGGCCUCGUAGAAUCACACACACAUGAAGAUAUUUACAUGAUAUUUCUGUUGCGUGUGGUGCUUGUCCUCCAAAUUUUAGAGGUGAUCCUUGCUUGUACCCUUGAUAUCUCAGCAAUACCUAUGGAUGUGAAGCAUACUGAUCAACUGACAUAUAUAUGUGAUUUCUUUUGUGAUGAAUCUGUGCAUAAUGUGUAUGAUGUGGUUAUAGAUGGUGCACGGGACGUAAUCAGAUUGUUUGCUAUACUUCCAUAUGAGUUGGCAGACCAUAUCAUUGCCAAUAUUAAGCCUCCAAUGAUUAGGGAUGAUCUUAUCGAAUGCUGGGAUUGCUAUGGAUGGCUUAAUUUUGCAACAGAUUGUGAUUAAAUGCUGGACAUGUCCAGUUAUACCAAGGUUGAAGCCUAUUUUUCCAUAUGAGUUGGCAGACCAUAUCAUUGCCAAUAUUAACCCGCCAAUGAUUAGAAAUGAAGAAGGUGAUGUGUUAUAUGCAAGGGGUAAGGAGAUUCAGGAGUCUACAAAUAUUGAGGCAGAAGCAGUAGCUAUUCUGGAGGCUUUACGCUAUUGUGUUCAACAUGGAUACAAUAACAUCUUGGUGCAAACUGACUCUUUGUUAAUGAAGAAUGUUGUGGAAGGUACAUGGACUGCACCUUGGGCAGUAGUUGCACAUGUGGAGGAAAUUAGGGAGAUAAUGAGGGGCUGCAAUAGUACAAUAUCCCAUAUCAUGCUCUCAUCCUUCAUGCUUGUGCUUAUCUGUAUAAUUUUUGGAGAAUGUUACUGAUUCAACUGUUACUUGCUGUAGAGAAACAGUUCAAACUAUAUUAUAUGUUAAUUGCUUUAUAACUGUUGGAGAGUUGCUCCUAUCAUAUGAUUAUGAGUAGUUACUAAAAUUGAACUAAUUCAUUAACUCAACCCAUGUUUUGAUUAUUGUAGGAUAAAUUUGAGAGUGUUGACAUGAAUGAUCAUCGUGAUCAUAUCUUCGCAUGGAUGAAAGAGUUAUGGAACAAAUGGAGAGGACACUUGCAUGCAAAAAUAUGUGACAGAUAAGCCAAUCCAACAAGCUCUUAAGAAUAUUCCAAAUGGAGUAGACAAGAAAGAAUGAGAGUGGUUAGUAAAGGAAUAUUUUUCUUCAGAAAGUUUUCAGGUAUGCCUAGUGAUUUAAUAAUCUAUUUGAGUUAUCGAAUUAUGUGUUUCGAUGUGUAGUUUCAGUUUAAGAAUCACGACUCAUGCACCAUAACAGGGGAAAUGGAAAAGUUAGAUCAACAGAAUGAAUUCGAACUAUGAAACUAAAACAAAGGCAAAAACCAAUAGUGAGAAACAAACUAAGAUGGUCAAGAGGGAGGAUUAAAGGGAAGGUCUAUGUUCUGCUCUGUUUUAAGUUCUUAUUUCUCUGUUCAUCCACGCUUCUGAUCUUCUCUUCUUUUUCAGUUCUUAUUUCUUUGUUCUUGCUCUGCCCUGUUUUCUCUGUUCACUUGAUAUCCCUGGAGGCUAAUUUUAUUCUGAAGCUUUUUAGAAGCAACUUAUGUUUAAGUUUAUUAAAUUUCUUACAUUUAAUCUUAAUGUUUCACAAAUAUAGGCGAGAAGCAACAGGAAUGCGGCAAAUCAAGCUAAGUUGAAGAUGCUUCAUCAUAUUGGUAGAAAGCCUAUUCGUGAGAUCAUUUAUCAAAAGGUAUUAUCAUAAAAUUUCUAUUUUCCCAAGAAAAUAUUUACGAGCUAUUCUUUGACAUGUUUGCCUUUGAUGAUGUAAAGGGCGGAAAAGAUGGCAACCCACCGGAUUUGGCAACAAUUUUUUUUGAGACCCGUAAGAAAGAUAACAAGCUUGAUGAACCUGAAGCAAUUGAAAAACAUGUAUGUUUGGAAAAUUGAAUAUGUAAAUUACUUGAAAUUAUGGUGGAUUCUGAUUUUAAAUGUUUUUUUAUAUAUUUUGUAGGCUCAAAUCGACGAAAUAGUUCAAGCAGAUCCAUCUCUACCUAGCAUAGAGAUUGUAGAAAAAUGUUGUGGACCUCAAACUCGUAGCCAUGUGUUUGGCUUUGGGGGUGGAGUGAAGGCAAAAGACUUGAAAGGUGGAACUUCUUCAAAGGCUGAAUUACUGUCUGCACUACGUUCAACUCGAGAAGAAAAUAAAUCUUUGAAUGAGGAAAACAAAUCCUUGAAUGAGCGCUUGUCUACCUUAAAAGAUGUGAUGAAAAAAAUGAGGAAAAUGAGAGAGUACUUUGCUGCUCAACAAUCACAUGUCCCGCUUACAACGACAUCGCCCAUUUCAACUGAAUGACCUCUGUUUUUGUCUGCUGACCAAGUUAGUAACAAUAUACCCAACUUUUAUUUUUUAUUCAUGAUUUGCUUAUAGUCAAUUUCUAUAUUACAUAUUUGUGCCUCCAGAAAGUUUUGCACAUGAUGUGCCUCCAAAAAGUUUUCCCUCCUCCUCUGGUACCUUCACAAAGAAAGUUUUGCAUACAUAGUCACAAUUUACCCCUUAACAGAGCGAGCAGUAAUAUUAGACUGCCGGGAAGAUUUCUCUCCAGUUACUGGAGUUUUUGUUCAACGCCCAAUUUCCUUAGCUCGAUCAGACCUUCCUCAACUAAAAAUAUAAAUAGUGAACUAUUAGAAAAUGAAUCAGUCUUUAUAUCAUGUCCUCUGCGGGUAAUCUAUCUGUUCUGUUCGCCAGUGAACUAUCUGUUCUGUUAGCUAGAAGAUGAAUCUGCGAGUGGUUGUGUCAUCGUAUAGUCCCUCAGUGAUAGUUUAUCUAAGUUUAUCUCUUCCAAAGGUUCUGCAAGUUGCUUCCUUUUGUACCUCAGUGAUAGUUUAUCUAAGUUCAACUCUCCCAAAGGUUCUGGAACUCUUAACUCAACUUUGAUGUUGCUUAGUUAUCUUAGACUUGAUUGGGGCUAUAACUGUGACGAGGCACAAGAAUUGUCAUGCUAUACAUUCUGGUAAAUUGCAGCCCCUAUGAACUUGUUAUCGCAACUACUGCAGAUGCUAAUUCUAUCAACUCUUGGUAACCCUCGCAGCCCCUAUGUCACACUCUCUGUAGAAUUGCCUAAGAGAAUGUAUGUAUAGUGUAUCUUGGUAACCCUCAAAGCUGCAACUGUAGAAGGUGGAUAAAUCUUCUCCAUUCCGAACUGCAACCGCUUGGUGCUAUGAUUGCCGGUAAUGAUAGUCUGAUUGAUACCAUCACCAAUCAUCAUUAAAUACUUCUUGUUCUUGGCGAUGGAGACAUACUCCUCGUAUAUACCAGCAGUAAUGUAUAUUAGAAAAUAGCUUGAAGUGGACAUGGAAUUGUUUGGAGCAGUAGCAACAGCAUCAGUUAUGGUGCUGAAAUUCCCACUUCCGUCCUGGUUUACUAUCACGUCCCUCACCAGAACCUGGUCAUCAUCAUCUUGGUGCUGGAGUAGCUUUCUCCUACUAACAGUCUCCAAAAUUGCUUGGUUUUGUGCAGACAUUUUUAAUGGAAAGUGACCAUUUUGGAAGGCUAGCUGUUUUUGGUUUUGUUGCUUAGUUUCUUCUGUGUGCCCUUUGACAUUUAAACUGAAUGCAUAGUCUUUUCAGCUGAUAAUUCUUCUAUUCAAAAGGAACCGGAAAAAAAAGAGAGUAGAAAAUGAGAGUUAAAAAUGAUUUACGUUUUAUUCUCUAUACAAAGUGUCCAAACAAAUAACCUAUAAGCAAGAGCGUGCUUCAUUUUGCACUGGAACAGAAGCAUACUAUGUCGUUGUUGGUCUCUUGAAUGGUAAAUCUCGCAUUGUCGUACCGGGAUUUAUCAAACCAAAGUAAGAUUAACCAUCCCAAAGCUUUUCUAAUUAAUUUUUUUUAAUAUUGUUAUAGCCUUGUUGAUGUUGCUGAUGUUACCUUGUGAAUUUAGACUGCUUUUGGGAUAAGCGAUUUAACUAUUGCUCAUAUAAAAUUAUAUAUGUUAUUUUACCAAUAGUUAUUUAUUAUUUUAAAAACUUUUGUACUUGCAGGUUUUGAAGAUUGAAGCUACAAGUCAAGAUGCAAGUUUAGAAGAUGCACAAGCUAUUAUUAUUUUACUAAAAAUGUUAUGCAAAACUUGAUAUCAUAGUCUAGCUCAGGAUGUUAGCUAAGUUUUUUUUUUGUUGAGGUGUUGAGAAAACAUAGAAAGUAACAUCAUCAUGGGAUUUGAACUUGAUAUAUUAUCUUUUUAUAUCUGGAUUAUUCAAUACCAAUUUGAUAUUUAUUGAUAAAAAUUACUUUUUGUUGCAUUGAGCUUUUAGGAUUACUCAUGGUUAUUAAAUAUUAAUAGAUCAUGAAUAUGAUCGCUAAAUUACAAAAUUAUUUUAAAUAGGGACUUCGUCUCUAAACAUAAUCUAGAAACAGUAUAAGGUUGGUCAGGAAAAUGGUUUAGCGACCGGAUGUUUUGUCGGUCUCUAAUAGAUAAUUUAGGACCAGUUGGAGUUGGUCGCUAAAACGAUUUAACAAAGGGAAUAUAUAUAUUUUUCAUCGCCUAUUAGGGACGAGAAAUGUAGUCUCUAAAAGUUAUUCCCGACCAGGUUUUCUGUUAAAAGACAAUUUAGGACCAGAUACAGUUGGUCGCUACAAAGAUUUCAUGACGGGAAUAAAUAUUUUUUCAUCGCCUACUAGGGACGAGAAAUGUGGUCUCUAAAAGUAUUUCACGACCGAUUUUUUUGUCCGUCUCUAAAGUGAUUUAACGACCAGGUAUUAAGACCCGUCGUUAUUGACAUUUAGCGACGGAGGCUAUUACGACGGGUUACGACCAUACUUUUCCCUUCGUAAUUUACCGUUUUAGGACCAUAUUUUAACUUUUAGGGACCAGAUUUUCCUUCCUUAAAGGCCGUUUUUCUUGUAGUGAAUUAUUCCAAUUGGAGACUCUAACUUUAAUAAAAUAAUCCCGUUUCGAUUGUCACUUUAAUUGGAAAAAACUCCCCUAUUCCCCUUCGGGUGGUAGAAAAAGGAGGUGUGACAGUUCUAGCGACUCUAUUGGGGAAAAGAACCCAAAACCUCAGGUUCUGAGUUCAAAAUUCGAGCUUAGAAUAACUGUUAUAGUUGACUUUUAUUUAUUAUCAGAUUUUUAAAUGUUUGAGCCUAAUGUGCUAAUGCUUUUUAACGCUUUGAUAUUGUUUGGACUGUAUAUAAAUUGUUACGAAACUCUCCUCUCUCUGAGUCUUUUAAAUCAUCUGGGAAUGGUGCACUUCGUAUGACUUCUCUUCUGUUAGAGUUAUAUCCCAAUUUUAGAACGAGGUUCAGGCAAGUUGCAAAGCUGGUGAAGCUUAUGUAUUCCGGUACUCUGCCCCCCNNNNNNNNNNNNNNNNNNNNNNNNNGGCUCGAGCUGUCCGCUCGGGUAAGCAAGGUCUAGAACAAAUAAACCUAGGUUUUUAAACCUAGAAUAACAUAGCCUCAUGCCAGAUCCCUAGUAGGAACGUUUGUUGCAUCACGUGCAUUUGACUUAGGGGACUCAAUAUAGGGGUUGGGUCCGUCUAUGACAAGUGUACCCAAAAAUAAAAGACCAUCUUGAUGCAUCCUAUGUGCUACAUGUUGCAUUUGUUCAAAUGGUAAAAGGGUCAUUUGGCAGACCAAUGAUGGCUGAGAGUAAAUGAGAAAAAGAGAGGGUGAAGUGUGGAAAUAAAGCAAGUGCGGUCAAGUUAUGUUUUCUGUCACAUUUUUAAUAAGAAAAAGAUAACAAAAAAAUGAAAAAUUCAAAAACGUUUUUGCACUUUUUCAUCAUUUUUCGAAAAUAAAAAAAUAAAAAAAAAACGAGAAGAAAUUCAAAAAGAGUCUACAUGUUUCAUAAUUUUUUUUAAAAAAAAGACAAAAAAUAUAUUUUCUCUAAGUUAUUUGUUAAUUUUAUUUCCCACCCGUAUCCAAUCUUUCCGAACUACGCAUACCUGAUUCUCGUCUUUCGGGGUGUGAUACGUAGACAACCCAUUUAGGGUCCGGUCUUCCUAGUGAAUCUUAGGUUCUUGACUUUGCGGGGUCUUAGCCAAAUUUGCACUUCUAGCCACCUUUUGGCCACAUAAGCCAUUUGCAAAAUAGCCUCAAUCAUGUCUUGUAUGUGUCAAACAGGAAGUGUUAUUGUCUCACAUAGUGUUAUAGGUCUUUAACUUUAUUUGGUCUUAAUUUUCUCAUACAGGUGUGGGUCUACUUACCGGAGUUUGAGCAUGACAUACACCCCGGGACCAUCCAAGCAGGAUCGAUCAUUCAGGAGUUGCUUAAGGAGAUUUUUUUUUUUAUGUUUGGAGUUUAUUUUUCUUUUUAUGUUGUCUUUUACCUUCUAGUUUUGUACAGUAAUGUCGAGUCUUUUGUUAUUGUACUUUUUUUUUGUAAUUGAAAAAUGUAUUAUAAAUCAAAAAUCCAAAAAAAGAGAUUUUGCGUUUUUAUAUUUCCAUUAGAAGUUUCUUUAGAAAUACUACUCCUAGAAAGAAUUUUCUUUUAGUACCUCUUUAAAAGUUUUCUUUAAGAUGUUAAUUCCAAAAAUCCAAAAAAGAUUUUCUCUUAAGGUUCUCCAUUGGCAAAUAUAUAAAUAUAUAUACAUAUAUAAUAUUCUUUUUAUGUUCACUAGAACUUUAGGAUAUUAUACAUAGACAAAAAAAUAUACUUUAUCUUUUGUUUAUCUUUAGAGUUUCUUCCUUAGGUAAUCAAAAACUGAAAUCCAAAAAUAUUUUUAUGUUGUCCAUUUCUCAUUUCGAAAUCUUUCUUCAGAGAUAUAAAACGAAGAUUCGAAAUAUUUUUCUUUGGUUUAUUCUUUAGAUUUCCUUUUUAAAAAAAGAAGAAGAAAAAAAAUCAAAAAUAUUUUUCUUUUCUAGGGCUUUUCCUUAAUAAUUUCCCAUAGAUUAUUUGUUUCAAAAAUAAAAAAGGAGAAAAAAAUAUACGCUCGUUAAGCUUGAGUUUAGAAUAAGUUAUAGAACAUUAAGUCUUGAAAUUUUUUUAAAAAAGGGACUUGCUUCUUUUAUUUAUCUUUUCUCAUGAUAGUAGUCAUUAAGGUAAAAAAAAAGAAAAAAAAGAAUAAGAAAAGAAAAAAAAAGAGAACGUUAGUUUGUUUACUUUAUUGGCGAUCUUCCCGAACUACGCAAAGAUCUGAUUUAUGCGGCGUCAUGAUACGUAGACAACCUACAUUGGGUUCGAUCGAAUCAUUUUUUAUUAUUAUUAAAAGAAAAAGAAAAAGAAAAAAAAGAAAAAGAAGAGAGAGGUGAAACUAUGGGAUGUGAGAAAUGAGAGGAAAGAAAAUAGUGAUAAUUAGAAGAAAAAAGAGGAAGGAAAAUGAGCAAGCCAAGAAGUGCUAGAAAAGAAGGAAAAGAGAAGAUUGAAAUGAAUAAAUUGGGAUGAUUCCAAGUGACCUUGUGGCCCUCGAAGUCAUUUUUGAACCGUUAAUUGUUGCUAGGUGCAUUGCACACAAUGUGAUAUUUGCAGCUGUUAAAUGCCCUAACGCUAAUGUGGUGACCUCAUUUUGUUCGUUUUUAUUAUCUCCAUUGAGCAGAAGAGUGGUUGGUUUGUGGUUCUUAAACUGGUAACUCUUCCAUACAACACAAGGUCAAAGAGAAAGGUAGCCAUGGCUAGCAAAAACUUGGACUCAAGAUUUGUUGACCUAUCGAUGGAGCCUGUGGAGUCGGGGUCUGAAUUGAAAGGGGAGGUCCAAAUGUUGAAACAACAGAUGACAGAAAUGUAUCAGUCUUGGAUCAGGGGGCAUCCUCCACCUUCAUUCCCCCUUAACUACACUGAAAACCUGGCAACUAUCCCACCACUAUCAUAAAUCCAGAUUCCCACUGCUGCUGAUAUCACCCCACAACCUUUUCACACUCUACCCACCAAAACCACCCCAUAUCCUGCUCCUUUGUCCACUCAUACUCUUCUAGCUCCUUCUCCAGCUACUUUUCCUCGAUCCUCUAACGAGUCUGUUUUCAAAGUCCCCGAUUCCCAACACUAUGCUCCAGAACCAACUUUCAAAGUCUCGGAUCCAUACUCUCAUGCUACUCAUUUUGAGCCUCCCGGUGAAGCUGAAAAGCCUGCUAAGACAGUGGAGCAGGAUGAGAUAUCCAGGAAGGUGAAAAUAUUAUAGCAGUCUUUAAGAAACAUGCAAGGGAUAGGGAGCCACAUGAGCGUGGCUUACAAAGAUUUGUGCUUGUUUCCUGACAUCCAAUUACCUGCUGGGUUUAAGAUGCCAAAAUUUUAUUUGUAUGACGGACAUGGAGAUCCCGUGGCCCAUUUGAGAGGAUACUGCAGUAAGAUGAGAGGCUCCAGUGGGAAAGACAAAUUGUUGAUGGCAUAUUUCAAUCAGAGUCUAAGUGGGGCAACUCUGGAUUGGUACACCCGCUAAGACGCUAGCAGGUGGUACACAUGGGACGAUAUGGCUCAGGCCUUUGCCCGGCACUUUCAGUACAAUAAAGAAAUUUUCCCGAAUUGCAUGUCCCUCACCAAGAUAGAAAAGAAGCCUAUUGAAAGCUUUAGUGAAUACGGGCUCAGAUGGAAAGAGCAAGCUGCCAGAGUCAAUCCCCUGAUGGACGAAAACGAGAUGGUCGAAUACUUUCUUCAAGCUCAAGAGCCAACUUACUUUGGGCAUUUGAUCUCGGCUGUGGGUAGGCCUUUUAAUGAUGUGGUAAAAAUGGGAGAAAUGGUAGAAGAUGGGCUGAAGUCGAGCAAGAUCAUGAGCUAUUCUUCUUUAAAAGCCACAACACAAGAAAUUCAGAACGACACAGGAAGCUUGCUGGCUCAGAAGGAACAUGAUGAUGUUGCCAUGGUUGUUUUAGAGUCACGACAUGGUCCAAAGGGUCUGCCUCACCAAUAUACUCAGCCUCAACCCCAACCGCAAACCUAUCCCCGAGCUCCGCAUAAACCACCUCAGUAUUAUCCUCUGAACAAUGUACGGUCAUCUAUCCAACCACCGGGUCACUCCUUAUGGCGAGCGCCCGCACCGCAUAAUGCACUCUUCCCUUCAUAACAUUUUCGAGCACCCAACAAGCCUAGAAAAUUGGGGAAGGGAGGAAAAAAGGCAAAGAAAUAGUUUCAUGCCAAUCGGGGAGUCCUACACAAACUGUUUGAAAAGUUAAAACAUUCUGCCUGAUUGAGCCGCUCCUUGGCUAUACUCCAGACCCAUAUGCAAAAGGUUUUGAUCCUAUUGUAUGGUGCAUGUACCACUCUAACAUCCAAGGGCAUAGCAUUGAAGAUUGUCGUGCUUUGAAAAGAGAAAUAGAAAGAAUGAUUCAAGAAGGGGUAAUUGUGAUCAAGGACAGUGACAAGGAGCAUGCGAAUCCUCUUGGGAACUUGCUGGCUAAAGUCAAUGAUAUUGAAGUUGGUAAUCGUGUUGGAAAUAUAGAUGUGGAACCCAGUAGCUAAGAUACCGUGCUUGGUAAUUGGAAAGACGCUCCAUUACUUGGUUAGCCAGGGAGGAGUUUUGGUGGUUUAUUUUGUUGUCAUUUCUAUUGUCCGGGUUAUUUUUAGGGUUGUAAUCGGGAUAUUGUCUUGUGACUCAAACCCUUCUAUCCUUUUAUUUUGCCUAGCUUGUUUACUCGUAGUAGCUCCUUUAGUGUUGUCUGGUUUUCUUCCAGGGUUGUAACCCCAUCUUAUUACUUGUUUUGUUGUCCAAAUCCUUUCACCAUCUGUCUAAUGCAAUUUCCUGUUUUUUGUUUUUUCUAGUCAGUGUUUGUUUUGUUCUCUCCUUUUAUAGUUCUUUUCCUGCUGACUCUAGUGACAUGACAUGCACACGUAAUUCUCAGCCUGAUCUUAAAAGUUAGUUCAGUCAUGAAGCAAUGAAACAAUGUUGAAGAUGAUAGGGACAUUUGAGGGAAAUAAGUAAAGGUAUUUUGAGAUCACUUCAAGCCCGAAUUGUGGGAAACAGGGGCCGAUAUAACAUAAAGAAACACUAUUGAAACGCAUCCUACCGCAUCAGAUCGAACCUAAAGGAAUGUUUGCCCCAAAUUGGCAGGGGCCGUUCAUGGUAACAAGAGUGUUAUCCAAUGGUGCUUUAUAUUUAAUAGAUGUAGAAGGAAAAUGUGUGGAUAUGGUUAUCAAUUCUGAUACAGUCAAAAGAUAUUAUAUAUGACUUCUUUGGUUUGUUUAAUUAUGUUUUUGUAUUUGGCAUGCUUUGAAGAUUGGAAUGCCGAAGGCAUUUUAUUUUGCUAUCUAAACACUUUAUCCUUUGUUACCCCUUUGAGCCUUAUUUAUUUUCUUUCAUAUCCCUCUUUUGGAAUCAGAAGCAGAGUUUAGAAAUAUGAUACAGAAAAAAAGGAGAGAAAAGAAAAAAAAGAAGAGAAAAAGAGAAAGAAAAAAUGGGAAAACAGUAAAGAAAAGAAAAGAAAAGAAAAAGAGAGAAAAAGAAAAAAAAUGAGAAAAGUACAAAAACAAAGCAAUUCCUACUUCAUAAACUACGUUCGACCUGAUUCCUUUUAAGGAUACAUAGGCAGCCUCACGGUUCGGUCCCAUCAAAAUAAAAGUCAAAGCCCCCAAGCAAGGAAACUGGGGCAGAAGUUGCGGUUUUGUAAAAGAUCUGAUUCCAAAAGUUGUAAUUUUGAACCUAUUCAGGUCAUUUUGAGCCUUUAUGAUGUCUUUUAUUUCUAACCCCAUCCAAAGCCCACAUUACGGUCCAAAGAAAGACCUUCUGAUCAAUAUUGGAGAGUGCCAAUUCGAGCAAGAUAGAGGUAUGACUCGCAUCAGGAGCAACACUCCGUGGUACACAAGGAAAACAAAAAUGAGAGAGUCUUAUCGGUGAAAACCUUCACAGGAACCAUAAGGUGACGGUAAGUUGAAAGAAAGAACAAAAUGAGAGAGGCUUGAUGGUGAAAAUCCUUUGGGCACUACAAGUCAAAUAAGGAUCGUGAAUCAGAUAGGAUAAUCGGAGCAUUGAAGCCUAGUUUCAUGACUCAGAGGUACAACAAGAGUUGAACAUUAGACUUGCUUGAUAGACUAGGGCACUUAAUCCAAAUGUGCAUGUCAUGGUCAUUAGAGUUGGUAUCAUUAUCUGAUAAGUUUCUACUUUGUACUUUUCUUGUUAGGAAUCAUCUCUUUCCAUUGUCAUUUACUCUGUUCCUUUUGUUUUGUUUACAUCUUCCUGAGUCGGUUUGGUUAGAACAAGUGAGAAAUGACUUCAAAAUUUGCUACCAGCUUUCCAAUUGCACAAAUGGAUGUCUGGCUAGCACAUCAAAGCGACAUAAGUCAGGAAAGAGUAGUAGGCGCACUGAGUUGGCAACAAUCAAUGUGUUUUGGGAUUCAUGUAAAAUACAAAGGUUCGGUAUAGGUCAAUUCAUGAGCAAAAUGCAACAGAUAGAAGGUAUUGAGUAUGAAUGUAUCAAAGGUAUUAUCUGUGAUAAGGUGACAGAGAAAGUGGUUAGUCAAUAAACAAGUAAUGUCUUUCAAGUUGAAAUCAAAGUUAUCAUAGCAAGUGAAGGAGCAAUCGCCCUCAAAGUCAAGGCCACAAACCAACCACCAUGUUUAAACUCACAAGUUUUCUUUGUCUGAAACAGGGAUAGGAUGAAAGCUAUAUUCAUAUCAAAGCAUGGAAGCUUGAAUUUUUCAGGUGUAAUGCCGAGUUCUGCUUAUCCAAAGGCUAUUGAGAAGAUCACACAUCACCCCUAGGAGCCUCACUUCCUAACAUGGGUCUUUCAAGUUAUGUUUCUUUUUAGGAGACGCACUUCCUACAUUGAGUUUUCCCCUAGGAAACACACUUCCUGGUUUGAAUCAUUUAAGUUUUAUCCCUAGGAGACGCACUUCGUAGUCUGGGUCUUUCAAGUUAUAUUUUAUUUUAGGAGACACACUUUCUAAAUUGAGAUUUUACCCCUAGGAAACACACUUCCUAGUUUGGGUCAUUUAAGUUCAUUCAUAGGAGACGCACUUCCUAAAUUGAGAUUUUACGCCUAGGAAAUGCACUUCCUAGUUUGGGUCAUUUAAGUUCAUUCAUAGGAGACACACUUCCUAGCUUGAGUCAUUGAAGUUUCACCCCUAGGAGACGCACUUUCUAGUUUGGUUCAUUCAAGUUUCACCCCUAGGAGACGCACUUCCUAGUUUGGGUCUUUCAGGUUAUAUUUUUGUUUUAGGAGACGCACUUCCUAAAUAGAUAGUUCAUUCCUAGGAAACGCACUUCCUAGUUUGGAGUCAUUGAAGUUUCAACCUUAGGAGACGCACUUCCUAGUGUGAGUCAUACAAGUUUUACUCAUAGGAGACACACUUCCUAGUGUGAGUCAUACAAUCUUUACCCCCUAGGAGACGCACUUUCUAGUUUGGUUCAUUCAAGUUUCACCCGUAGGAGACGCACUUCCUGAUCUGGCUCUUUCAGGUUUUAUUUUUAGCGGACGCAUUUGCUUGUCAAAGUUUCUUGGUCUUACUCACAGGAGAUGCACAUCCUAGUCGAAUCUCUAGUUUACUUUCAUCAUUGCAUCAAUAGAAUAAGUGGUUUACAAUUUUGCUAACAACUCAAAAAUCUUCUGAGUGCAAACUGGAGCAGAAAAUUUUGUUUGUUUUGUUGUUUUGAUUGCAGGCACUCACCUGGAGAACAAGGGAAUUUGUUUCGGAAUUAUCUCAAGUUUCAAGGGAAAGCGGUUUCGAAUGAAGACGGGUCAAGUUCAGCAAUCAGGCGCCCACCUGGAGAACAAGGAAAGAUAGUUCAAGUUUCAAGGGAAAGCAGUUUCGAAGGAAGACAGUUCAAGUUCAGCAAUCAGGUGCCCACCUGGAGAACAAGGGGAAACAUUUCAAGUUUCAAAGGAAAGCAAUCCAUGUUUCAAAGGAAGAUAGUUCAAGUUUUGGCAAUCAGACGCCCACCUGGAAAACAAGGGAACUCACUUCAGAAUGCAAUUCAAGUCAGCAACAAAGGAAGCUCACCUGGAGAGUACGAGUCAACAUCUCAAGAUGCACCACAGAGCUGCAAACACUCAAGAUCAAGCUUCAGAAGACUUAUAGAUAGGAAUCUUGUAACUCAUAGUUGAUAGGCUUAGUUAGUCUUUUUAAUUUUUUUGAUUUUGAUGUUACAUCAGGACCGCGGACCGGAACCUCGACGGAACGACACCUUGAUCGGCUCUCUACCUCGGUAUACUCCAUCAUCUCACUCACUUCUGAACUACCUGUGGCCUGAUUUAUUUAUAGCCAAGGAUAUGUAGGCGGCUCAGAUACCAGGGCUCGGUCACAUUCUCCAUUCUCUUAAUUUUGGUCUCCCGAAAUAAGGGUCGGGUCAAAAAACCUGUCUAAUCGUUCUUUGUCUAAAAAUACUUCGUGUUUCUAGUCAAAGAGGGGUAACUGUAGACAUGUGAUUUUUGACCCUCCCCAAGAUUUUAUACAUUUUUGUAUUUAAAUAUUUAGUUUAGGUCUAAUAUAAUUAUUUUAACUAGUUCUGACUCUUUUACUUUAUUUUAUCACAAAAUGAAAAUUACAAAAAUAUUUCUUCUUUUUAGUUAGUUUUAGUUUAUAUACCUUUCGUAAAACUAAAAAAAAUACAAUAAUAGUACCUUAUUUUUAUUUUAAUAUGAUAUUUAAAAAUACCAAAAAGAUAGUUUUGCCUUAUUUUAAUAGUUAUUUUCUUUAAGUAAGAUUAAUUAGUAAAUAAAGUAGUAUUUUAGUCUUGUUCACGGAGAAAGAAUAAAAUUUGGGCUCAAACAACCCAUUUUUAAGCUUAAUUUUUUGACCUAGCCCAUAAUUUCUAAGCCCAUAAUUCCUAGACCCAUACCCCUUAACCUACAAAAACUAACCAAGACCUAGACAAUUGGGGGAUCAACCGAAAAAGACAAAAUAGACCUAAGCCUAAAGAGCUGACAGCCGCAAUUCUCAAAAGAAGAGACCCCCCCUCGUGAUCGUCUUCUUCGAAACCCCAUCAGAUUUGUCUUCUUCAACACAAAAAAUGGUGAGCAAUUAAAAACAAGGGAGCCAUUACCCUAGGCUUCAUCUUCUUCAUGGAGAACACCAAAAAACCAUAGAACUUCUACACCCAAACCCGCCGGCCACCCCUGAAGCCGACGACCCCUCACGCCGAACUCCAUCUCUAGCCACCUUCACAAAACCAAUAACCCGCCAGAAAAACACCAUCGCUGCCCGUCUCCACCAGCUACUAUAAUAGUAGCGACGAACAUACCAGACACAUGACCACCACACCCAGAACACCCUAAAAGCCACCUGCUGCUCCAUCAUCCUUCACGCCAAGAACCCGAUAUCCACAGUCACUCACAUGCACAGAAACGAGGAGGAGUGGAAAAUGAGAGGAGAAAAAAAUUCGAGGUUCCAGGUUUUAGUUCCGGUCGAAAAUUUUGUAGGCUUUGUUGUUCUUUCUUGUUGGAUUACAGAAUCAAGGACUAUGUAUUUUUGAUUUCUUUCCACUGUUACAUUGAAGAACUCUUUUAAUGGAGCUUGUGUUUUCCAAGUUUUUGGUUCGAAUUAUCACUUUCUACCAAGUGCCUUGAAGUUCAGAUUUUCGUCGUUUGUUUGUCACUGAAUUUCGCGGCUUGCUUUUCGUGCUUCAACGGUUGUGUUUCAUUUUUAUUUCGCACAUCAAUUGAUUCAAAUUUCAUCUUCAGAUUUGGAUAUUUAUGUCUCUUCUUGAGUAUUUACAAAUUAAAGUUGCUGGUUCGAGCUAUGCC
rnacentral:lncRNA from 1 species